AACGAACGCUGGCGGCAUGCCUAACACAUGCAAGUCGAACGAGACCUUCGGGUCUAGUGGCGCACGGGUGCGUAACGCGUGGGAACCUGCCCUUAGGUUCGGAAUAACUCCCCGAAAGGGGUGCUAAUACCGGAUAAUGUCUUCGGACCAAAGAUUUAUCGCCUUUGGAUGGGCCCGCGUUGGAUUAGCUAGUUGGUAGGGUAAAAGCCUACCAAGGCGACGAUCCAUAGCUGGUCUGAGAGGAUGAUCAGCCACACUGGGACUGAGACACGGCCCAGACUCCUACGGGAGGCAGCAGUGGGGAAUAGUGGACAAUGGGCGAAAGCCUGAUCCAGCAAUGCCGCGUGAGUGAUGAAGGCCUUAGGGUUGUAAAGCUCUUUUACCCGGGAUGAUAAUGACAGUACCGGGAGAAUAAGCCCCGGCUAACUACGUG
rnacentral:rRNA from 1 species